AACGAACGCUGGCGGCAUGCCUAACACAUGCAAGUCGAACGAGACCUUCGGGUCUAGUGGCGCACGGGUGCGUAACGCGUGGGAACCUGCCCUUAGGUUCGGAACAACUCCCCGAAAGGGGUGCUAAUACCGGAUAAUGUCUUCGGACCAAAGAUUUAUCGCCUUUGGAUGGGCCCGCGUUGGAUUAGCUAGUUGGUAGGGUAAAAGCCUACCAAGGCGACGAUCCAUAGCUGGUCUGAGAGGAUGAUCAGCCACACUGGGACUGAGACACGGCCCAGACUCCUACGGGAGGCAGCAGUGGGGAAUAUUGGGCAAUGGGCGAAAGCCUGAUCCAGCAAUGCCGCGUGAGUGAUGAAGGCCUUAGGGUUGUAAAGCUCUUUUACCCGGGAUGAUAAUGACAGUACCGGGAGAAUAAGCUCCGGCUAACUCCGUG
rnacentral:rRNA from 1 species